AGCACCACUAAACUAAAGCACAGACACACGCCGGCCGAUUGCCGACGAUAAAUCGCUUCGACGACGACGGCGAUCUAGCUACUCUCACCUGCUGGCCGCCCCCUGCUGAUGAUCGGCGGUGGUGGUGGUGCGCGGCCUCCUCAUCAUGGCGCCGUCUUCGGCUUCGGCGACGGUGGUGCGCGGCCUCCUCGUCAUCACGUGAUCGGCGAUGGAGAUGCACGGCCACACCAUGACUUCAUCGGAGGUGGUGGUGGUGCGCGGCCUCAUCAUCAUGGAGAUCGCGUGGCGGAGGAGCCUGGCGGUGGCCAUGCUUGGUUUGUACACGAACAUGUCGGCGUCGAUGUAGGGCGCCCGCGGCCGGCCGCCGUUGGGCUCGAACUGCUCGUGGAUGUUCUCCAACGACCCUUGAAAACCCACCGCGUCCAGGUACAUCAUCUGAUCGUACUCCACGAACUGCACCGACGACGACGACAUCAAUUUUAAUUUAGCGACCGUGCACACCAUACAUAUUAUCGCAGCUUGAAUAAAUAAACUAGUUUGUGGAUACCUCCCAGACGCGGAGCUUGUUGUAGUGGGGCGGGAACACGGGCUGGACCUCGCGGACGACGCAGCCCAGCUCAUCCAUGAGGACGCGGCGGCGGGACUCCGGCACGUCGGGGAGGACGGCGACCACCAGCGGGUAG
rnacentral:lncRNA from 1 species